rnacentral:tRNA from 1 species
UUAGUUAAAGCCAAAUUAGAGGCUUAUUAUUGUUAAUAAUAGAAUUGACUAUGUCUAACUAUC